AUGGGUUGGCGUGUGGGGGUAUGGGUUGGCGUGUGGGGGUAUGGGUUGGCGUGUGGGGGUAUUGGUUGGCGUGUGGGGGUAUGGGUUGGCGUGUGGGGGUAUGGAUUGGUAUGUGUGGGUGUAUGGGUUGGCGUGUGGGGGUAUGGGUUGGUGUGUGGGUUGGUGUGUGUGGGCGUAUGGGUUGGUGUGUGGGGGUAUGGGUUGGCGUGUGGGGGUAUGGGUUGGCGUGUGGGGGUAUGGGUUGGCGUGUGGGGGUAUGGGUUGGCGUGUGGGGGUAUGGGUUGGCGUGUGGGGGUAUGGGUUGGUGUGUGGGGGUAUGGAUUGGUAUGUGUGGGUGUAUGGGUUGGUGUGUGGGGGUAUGGGUUGGCGUGUGGGCGUAUGGGUUGGCGUGUGGGGGUAUGGAUUGGUAUGUGUGGGUGUAUGGGUUGGCAUGUGGGGGUAUGGGUUGGUGUGUGGGUUGGCGUGUGGGGGUAUGGGUUGGUGUGUGGGUUGGUGUGUGUGGGCGUAUGGGUUGGUGUGUGGGCGUAUGGGUUGGUGUGUGGGGGUAUGGGUUGGCGUGUGGGGGUAUGGGUUGGUGUGAGGGUUGGUGUGUGUGGGCGUAUGGGUUGGUGUGUGGGGGUAUGGAUUGGCGUGUGGGGGUAUGGGUUGGCGUGUGGGGUAUGGAUUGGUAUGUGUGGGCAUAUGGGUUGGCGUGUGGGGGUAUGGGUUGGUGUGUGGGUUGGUGUGUGUGUGCGUAUGGGUUGGCGUGUGGGGGUAUGGGUUGGCGUGUGGGGGUAUGGGUUGGCGUGUGGGCGUAUGGGUUGGCGUGUGGGGGUAUGGGUUGGCGUGUGUGGGUAUGGGUUGGCGUGUGGGGGUAUGGGUUGCGCGGGCCCAGUGCAGUCACCUGGAGCAGUUUCCACAGUCCUGCAUGAUGCCGUAGGAGCUGCUGACGUUAGUGAAGUAAAACUGUGUCUGUAUCGUCACACAGCUGGUCUCCUUGGAGUCCGUCCCCUCAGCCUCCACCUCAUCUAG
rnacentral:lncRNA from 1 species